CUAACUCCUGAAUUUCAGGUACGCUAAUUAUAUUAACACUAAGAUAAACUCUUAAAUACAAGUACAUGUAUCUAAUGUAUUUUUUUGGCAUUGUAGGAAUUGAGUAAGGUGCAACGUGAACGUUCCUCGAAAAUUCAAUCCAGACAUCAAAGUGGCCGGAGUGGAAUGGUGAACGUACGGGAAGCUGUGGUAAGUAAUGCUUAAAAUUUAAUGUGCUAUAAUGUGCUAUAAAAUUUAAUUGGUACUCAUUUAAUUGUUAUAACGUGAUGUAGAAAAAGGAUCUCGAAGUCGCAGAUCCCCCCGCCACCGUGUUUGGAUUAAAUCUCGCACCAAGAGUCGAAAACUUGUCACUGAUUACGACAAGGAAAUUGCAGAGAAGAUAGCUCAAUUAGAGGAGAAGCUUAGUCAGGGACAAAUUCAGGUCCAGGGCAAAAACGAUAUCCUGACGCAGGCGCUCGGGACACCAGAGCAUCCUGGACGUGUCAGGGCUGCUGGGUUCCUAACCAGGGCAUCUCAACUGUUCGGCAGGAAGAAAAGGGAAGUGUCUGAUGUUGUGGCUCGACAAGCGAAGGAGAUUGAAAAAUUAAAAGCCGAAGUCCAAUCCCUUAAGCAGAAGACAAACGCUGCCGAAC